GAUCUGGCUCAGGAUGAACGCUAGCGGCAGGCUAACACAUGCAAGUCGAGGGGCAGCGUGGAGUAGCAAUACUCUGACGGCGACCGGCGAAAGGGUGAGUAACGCGUGAGCAACAUGCCCGAUACUGGAGGAUAGUCGAUGGAAACGUCGCGUAAUACUCCGUAACAUAGGGGACCGCAUGAUUCUCUAUUAAUAGAUUUAUCGGUAUCGGAUUGGCUCGCGUACCAUUAGCUAGUUGGCGGGUAACGGCCCACCAAGGCGACGAUGGUUAGGGGUUCUGAGAGGAAGGUCCCCCACAUUGGAACUGAGACACGGUCCAGACUCCUACGGGAGGCAGCAGUGAGGAAUAUUGGACAAUGGCCGAGAGGCUGAUCCAGCCAUGCCGCGUGCCGGGAGGACGGCCCUAUGGGUUGUAAACCGCUUUUGUUGGGGAGCAAUAAGGGUCACGUGUGACCUGAUGAGAGUACCCAGCGAAUAAGCAUCGGCUAACUCCGUGCCAGCCGCCGC
rnacentral:rRNA from 1 species